rnacentral:rRNA from 1 species
AGCGAACGUUAGCGGCGGGCUUAACACAUGCAAGUCGAGCGAGAAAGUGGCUUCGGCCAUCAGUAAAGCGGCGGACGGGUGAGUAACACGUAGGUAAUCUUCCCUUGAGCGGGGGACAACGAGCCGAAAGGCUCGCUAAUACCGCAUAAGUUCCCAGGGUCCUCGGGCCUUGGGAGGAAAGCUAGGUAGCAAUAUCCGGCACUCGAGGAGGAGCCUGCGUCGCAUCAGCUAGUUGGUGGGGUAAUGGCCUACCAAGGCGAAGACGCGUAGCUGGUCUGAGAGGAUGAUCAGCCACACUGAAACUGAGACACGGUUCAGACUCCUACGGGAGGCAGCAGUGGGGAAUAUUGGACAAUGGGCGCAAGCCUGAUCCAGCCACGCCGCGUGAGUGAUGAAGGCCUUCGGGUCGUAAAGCUCUGUGGGGAGGGACGAACCGCCGGCGGUUAAUACCCGACGGCAUGACGGUACCGUCCUUAGCAAGCACCGGCUAACUUCGUGCCAGCAGCCGCGGUAA